CGGAGUCAACCAGAGCCACGUGCAGCCCGUUUGGGCCGAGAUCCCGUCCCGUUCCGCAGACAUCGGCGCCCGGGCUGUGCCCAGCACCGGCCCCUCAGAGGAGGAACUGAAGAUUAUCCUCUUCGAGUUAGGCUGCCACCUCGUCAUGGAUGACGGCGAGGGCGACCCCAGCAACCUGAGCGCGCUGCCCGCCCAGAACCUGUUCGCGGACCCCGUGAACUCCAGGCUGCCGAGCCUAGACAUCCAGCUGGAAAUGGGCAUCUUCUGCUCGGCUGCGUAUUUCGGCGACGGGGGGUUCUCCAUAUAACGCUAGGCGAGAGAAGCAGCCGGCGUCCUCCGCAGAAGUGCCGCCUGGACGUGGCAGCCUCGACCACGUCCCUCCCCACCCCCACCCCCAAUAAACCUGCUUUUAGCUGUCACUGGUCUCCCGGAGUCUAUUUAGGCUGAACGGGGUGGGGGGUGCGGGGAAAUAAUGGAGUUGGGAAAGACACUCAAAGUCAUCUAGUCUAACCCCCGGAAUCAAAUCGUCCCUGGCAGACGGCCACUUAAAACCUUCCAAGGAAGGAGAGUCCACCACCUCCCGGGAAUGCCCCUUCCACGGGAGAAUCGCUCUAUAGCAGGGGAGCUUGCAGCCCUGGAGGGGCCCAAGAUGGCAGGAAACACCGUUUUCCUUCUUGAGAAGGGCUUCCUUUGAGCCGGCAAUGCCCAGGACCCAGGCUGGAGGCUCAUCAGGAGAGGAGAAAAGGAUUCUCAUUGGCCUCUUUUAAAAUGAAUAAAUAAAUAAAUAAAUUUUAUUUUUUCAUUAAUAACAUCUCAAAUCUUGCCACGUCAUAUCCAAAAAAAAAAAAAAACAAUCCAAUUAAACAUUUCAUAUUGAUUAAUUUAAUGGGGCUUCCCAUUUUCUGGCUGGUCCGGAGAUAGUCUUAUUUUUUUUUUUUUUGCUGC
rnacentral:lncRNA from 1 species